UACGUAGGGGGCAAGCGUUGUCCGGAUUUAUUGGGCGUAAAGAGCGUGUAGGCGGCUUUACAGGUCCGUUGUGAAAACUCGAGGCUCAACCUCGAGACGCCGGUGGAAACCGUAAAGCUAGAGUCCGGAAGAGGAGAGUGGAAUUCCUGGUGUAGCGGUGGAAUGCGCAGAUAUCAGGAGGAACACCGAUGGCGAAGGCAGUUCUCUGGGCCGUAACUGACGCUGAGGAGCGAAAGCGUGGGGAGCGAACAGG
rnacentral:rRNA from 1 species